AAGGCCCUAGCUUAAUUAAAGUGUCUGGGUUGCAUUCAGAAGAUGCAGGGUAGCAUCCUGCGGGCUUUA
rnacentral:tRNA from 1 species